rnacentral:rRNA from 1 species
GACGAACGCUGGCGGCGUGCUUAACACAUGCAAGUCGAACGGAAAGGCCCUGCUUUUGUGGGGGGCUCGAGGGGGGAACGGGUGAGUAACACGUGAGUCACCUGCGCUUGGCUUUGGGAUAACUUCAGGAAGCCGGGGCUAAUACCGGAUAGGUGCGCCUGCUGCAUGGUGGGGGUUGGAAAUCUUCGGCGGUAGGGGGUGGACUCGCGGGUUAUCAGCUGGUUGGUGGAGUAGUGGCCUAUCCAGCCAUUGGCGGGUAGCCUGCCUGAGAGGGUGACCGGGCACCAUGGGCCUGAGAUACGGACCAGACGGCUACAGGAGGCAGCGGUCGGGAAUCUUACCCAACCGGCGGAAGCGUGAUGCGGCGGCCCCGCGUGCGUGAAGCAGGCUUUCGGGUGGUAAACCGCAGUCGCCUGAGACGAAGCGGGAGUGACGGUAAUGGGUAAAGAAGCACCGGCUAACUACGUG